AGUCGAACGGCAGCACGGGAGCAACCCUGGUGGCGAGUGGCGAACGGGUGAGUAAUACAUCGGAACGUGUCCUGUAGUGGGGGAUAGCCCGGCGAAAGCCGGAUUAAUACCGCAUACGCUCUACGGAGGAAAGGGGGGGAUCUCAGGACCUCCCGCUACAGGGGCGGCCGAUGGCAGAUUAGCUAGUUGGUGGGGUAAAGGCCUACCAAGGCGACGAUCUGUAGCUGGUCUGAGAGGACGACCAGCCACACUGGGACUGAGACACGGCCCAGACUCCUACGGGAGGCAGCAGUGGGGAAUUUUGGACAAUGGGCGAAAGCCUGAUCCAGCAAUGCCGCGUGUGUGAAGAAGGCCUUCGGGUUGUAAAGCACUUUUGUCCGGAAAGAAAACCUCCGCCCUAAUAUGGUGGGGGGAUGACGGUACCGGAAGAAUAAGCACCGGCUAACUACGUGCCAGCAGCCGCGGUAAUACGUAGGGUGCAAGCGUUAAUCGGAAUUACUGGGCGUAAAGCGUGCGCAGGCGGUCCGCUAAGACAGAUGUGAAAUCCCCGGGCUUAACCUGGGAACUGCAUUUGUGACUGGCGGGCUAGAGUAUGGCAGAGGGGGGUAGAAUUCCACGUGUAGCAGUGAAAUGCGUAGAGAUGUGGAGGAAUACCGAUGGCGAAGGCAGCCCCCUGGGCCAAUACUGACGCUCAUGCACGAAAGCGUGGGGAGCAAACAGGAUUAGAUACCCUGGUAGUCCACGCCCUAAACGAUGUCAACUAGUUGUUGGGGAUUCAUUUCCUUAGUAACGUAGCUAACGCGUGAAGUUGACCGCCUGGGGAGUACGGUCGCAAGAUUAAAACUCAAAGGAAUUGACGGGGACCCGCACAAGCGGUGGAUGAUGUGGAUUAAUUCGAUGCAACGCGAAAAACCUUACCUACCCUUGACAUGUAUGGAAUCCUGCUGAGAGGUGGGAGUGCCCGAAAGGGAGCCAUAACACAGGUGCUGCAUGGCUGUCGUCAGCUC
rnacentral:rRNA from 1 species